AACCUAUGCAAAAAUUCAUGAUGACAAAAAUAUAAUGCUAAAAGGAGGGUCAGAAGAAAUUUUCAACAGCAACUACUGUCAAAUACAGAAGAUUCUUUACACGUAUUCUACUUUAUCAGAUUUAUGUAGCCUGAAAGCAUAAGGAAAUGCAUCGUGUAGCACUAAACUAGAUGUGACAAUCAUAAAUCACAUAUAAGCAAUCAUUCAAGCAACUUGAUAUUUCAGCUCAAAACCGAAAGUCAUCAGUAAACUGAGGAUGCUGAGAGUCAAAAUAUAAAAAGUGGAACUGAUCUGCUCUGGUGUCAUACAUAGUACUGAGUAGUGACAGUCUUCUUUUUUAUUUUUUAUCUUUUAUUUUUCAUAGGUAGUGAAAGUGUGGAACUGAUCUGCUCUGGUGUCAUACAUAGAACUGAGUAAUGAGUCUUCUUUUUUAUUUUUUAUUUUUGAUAGGUAGUAAUGACAGUCUUCAUUACAUGUAUACUCUAUCUGAUCAUAAUAUUAUCUAAAAAAUCUACAAAUCACAAGCUAUUUUAGCACCGACAUGCAACCAUUAAUAACUAGCGUACUCUAUAUCGAAUGUUACAAGUAACAUUAGGAAGUAGGUUUAAGAUUCUCUCCUAGCAGGAAUGUUUAUCUUGCAAAGAAGCAUAUCACUCAAAAAGGGCAUCCCGGACUAGUCAAAGAAAGCCUGUAAAGGACAUAAAACUAACC
rnacentral:lncRNA from 1 species